GUCCCUCCCGAGAAGGGGGCCAAUGCCCCUGUAAAUAAUAAUAAUUAUAAUUAUAAUUAUUAUAAAACAUAACAUAAAUAAUAAGAAAUCUGAAAAGUGUAGCAACAAAACAAAACCUCACCUCAUACGAAGGAAGAUGUCGAACUUGUUGUUGGCAAGGGCUCCUUGCACCAAAAGCUUAUUAUCCGAAUCGUAUGUGAACACGAUUCGGACACACUUUAAUAUGUAAUAUGCAUAUAGUUUCUUGCCCGUGAAAUAGCCAUUGCUCACAACCCUAUACUGUUGAUCCCAGAUCGAUGAGUGUACGACGAACCCUUUUGUGUUCGGAGGCACAUCUUUCAACGGGAAAAGAUACAAUCCGGCGAUUGGUUGGAACCCGAUCGUCUUAUCCGUUAGGUUUACCAAUUCUGUGAUAAACAAAACCAUCUCUCUCUCUCUAACUCUCUAACUAUGAAAAUAUAUAUAUAAUUCAAUCAAUUUUUCUGCG
rnacentral:lncRNA from 1 species